rnacentral:rRNA from 1 species
AUUGAACGCUGGCGGAAUGCUUUACACAUGCAAGUCGAACGGUAGAGGGGGCAACCCCUCGAGAGUGGCGAACGGGGGAGUAAUAUAUCGGAACGUGCCCAGUCGUGAGGGAUAACGUAGCGAAAGUUACGCUAAUACCGCAUACGAGCUAAGGAUGAAAGCGGGGGAUCGCAAGACCUCGCGCGAAUGGACCGGCCGAUAUCAGAUUAGGUAGUUGGUGGGGUAAAGGCUCACCAAGCCAACGAUCUGUAGCUGGUCAGAGAGGACGACCAGCCACACGGGAACUGAGACACGGUCCAGACUCCUACGGGAGGCAGCAGUGGGGAAUUUUGGACAAUGGACGCAAGUCUGAUCCAGCCAUUCCGCGUGCAGGAUGAAGGCCCUCGGGUUGUAAACUGCUUUUGUACGGAACGAAAAGGUCUCUCUUAAUACGGGGGACUCAUGACGGUACCGUAAGAAUAAGCACCGGCUAACUACGUGCCAGCCGCCGCGGUAACAC